rnacentral:sRNA from 1 species
AUAUUUAGCUGAAGAAGCUUAUCAUUGGGAUGGAGUUUUUCAGGAAUCAUGCUCUGGCCCUGAUGGAGGAGCCACUGCAAGUACAGAUUUCUGAUUCUCAGAUAAAUUCCACUUCCUCCACAGCACCCGGAUCAAAACAUUCCUGGACCUCUCUGAGCAGACCACUCUCUUUGCAGAAGAUGUCGAGGUCAGGUUGCACCUGAGCUGUUUCAAACAUUAAUAAUUUUUUGUUCCAAGUCACAGCAGACAAAACCUCAUAGUCAUGAGACUCUAAGGUUCUAUUUCAUGCAGAGACAUGCUCAUGGGUCAGCUUGGUCAUUGUGUCGCCUUGACAAGUCCCAUGAUCUAUCCAGAUCGGCCUGAUCCUUCAACUCUACGAAAUGCCUAACUGUCCAGUAGGAACUCUUUUCCUGCCAUUCUCAGAAUCUGGGGAUGUGUGGGUACAGAAAUUUACAGAACAAACUAAGCACACUGAUGUAAGGUGCCUCUGAUCACAGUGGCUUGAUAGUUUGAGCUUUGAAUUCAGAACAAAACCUUGUGGGAUCUGGAGAUCUUCCCAGCUACUGAGUCACCCCUGGCAAACCCUUUCAUAUCUUCCUGAGCCUAGGAUUAUUCCCCCUUGAUAGAAGAUGAAGAACGAAUGGAAUUUUCAGGAGCAUUGCAAAGUAGAAUAAGGAAAAGUGUAUAAUUAUUCAGUAUAACCCACCAAGGUGACCCAGUGUUGGGCAGUUAUGGAAUGAUUUAUUCUUUUCCAGUUAUUUACAGGUAUGAUCUUUAUUUCUUACUCACUUUCUCAGGGUCAAAUCACUCCAUUGUCUUAAGCCUGUCCCCUUCACAUGAGAUAAUAGAGCCAACUCUGACUCACUUCUCUCCACAGCACUCUGGGCCUUUGAUGCCUUCCACAUGGAAACUGCACUGGAAAACAACUGGGUGCAUAGGCACUCCAGCUCUAUAAGCCCAGCAUGGCGAGCCAUCCUCUAGCAGACAGCAUUUAAAUGGAACAUUCCACUGAUGGAUUUGAGUGUUAAUAAUUGAUAUUCUCGAACAAACCCCUAGAAGAGCAGAAGGACCUCACCUAGUAAGAACUGGACUCAACAAGGACCCAGCACUUUCACAAUGCAAAGGAUACCACCACAGUCUGAAACAGUCCUCUUGACUCCUUGUCCCUGGUAGUCUAAAAAACUCUCAUCUCAGGACAUGCAUUUCAAAGCCAUCUGAUUUUACUGAAGAGAUUUAGAAGGGAGUAAGAGCAUCAGAUCACUCUGCCAGCUGAGGUGGAAAGGAGACAGGGCAUCAUGGAGAAGGUGAAGAAGCCAGUUCUGCCAUCAUGCAGGAAAGAAUGAAUUUUUGCCAUCUGCAAACAUCAAAGACCAUAAUCAACUAAUAUUAGUCAGCCUGCUGUUACUACAAUGAAACACCAAAGGCUUCUAACUUUGGAAAAGAAAACAGGUUGGUCUACAUCAGCUUCAGAGGCCCCAAAGCAUGAUUUCUGCAUUAGUUCAAUUGAGUUGAGAGCAGAUGGUAGCACAGCCAGGCAGGAGGGUGUGUAGGAGCACAUUUCAAAAGAAAGCAGGAGGAGGAAGAACAUAAAGACACAAGAGUCCUGUAACUACUGUCAUACAUGUGAAACAAUGAUUUAAUUACUCCAAUAUGCCCUACCUCCCUAAGAUACCAUUUCCCAAGAUUUCCACCCUGAGAACAAAGCCCUUACCUACUAACCAUCAGAGGACACAGGUUAUACCUAAAUCAUAUCUCAAGUCAUAUAUAAUUGUUUCAAGCUAUGAGUAGAUUUUAUCACCCUUCUCUCAUUCCCUCAACUCUCCCUCCCUCCCUCUUCCUCCUG